rnacentral:rRNA from 1 species
AGUUUGAUCAUGGCUCAGAUUGAACGCUGGCGGCAGGCCUAACACAUGCAAGUCGAGCGGUAGCACAGGAGAGCUUGCUCUCUGGGUGACGAGCGGCGGACGGGUGAGUAAUGUCUGGGAAACUGCCUGAUGGAGGGGGAUAACUACUGGAAACGGUAGCUAAUACCGCAUAACCUCGCAAGAGCAAAGAGGGGGACCUUCGGGCCUCUCGCCAUCAGAUGUGCCCAGAUGGGAUUAGCUAGUAGGUGAGGUAAUGGCUCACCUAGGCGACGAUCCCUAGCUGGUCUGAGAGGAUGACCAGCCACACUGGAACUGAGACACGGUCCAGACUCCUACGGGAGGCAGCAGUGGGGAAUAUUGCACAAUGGGCGCAAGCCUGAUGCAGCCAUGCCGCGUGUGUGAAGAAGGCCUUCGGGUUGUAAAGCACUUUCAGCGAGGAGGAAGGCGGUAAGGUUAAUAACCUUAUCGAUUGACGUUACUCGCAGAAGAAGCACCGGCUAACUCCGUGCCAGCAGCCGCGGUAAUACGGAGGGUGCAAGCGUUAAUCGGAAUGACUGGGCGUAAAGCGCACGCAGGCGGUCUGUUAAGUUGGAUGUGAAAUCCCCGGGCUUAACCUGGGAACUGCAUUCAAAACUGACAGGCUAGAGUCUUGUAGAGGGGGGUAGAAUUCCAGGUGUAGCGGUGAAAUGCGUAGAGAUCUGGAGGAAUACCGGUGGCGAAGGCGGCCCCCUGGACAAAGACUGACGCUCAGGUGCGAAAGCGUGGGGAGCAAACAGGAUUAGAUACCCUGGUAGUCCACGCUGUAAACGAUGUCGAUUUGGAGGUUGUGCCCUUGAGGCGUGGCUUCCGGAGCUAACGCGUUAAAUCGACCGCCUGGGGAGUACGGCCGCAAGGUUAAAACUCAAAUGAAUUGACGGGGGCCCGCACAAGCGGUGGAGCAUGUGGUUUAAUUCGAUGCAACGCGAAGAACCUUACCUACUCUUGACAUCCAGAGAAUUAGCUAGAGAUAGCUGAGUGCCUUCGGGAACUCUGAGACAGGUGCUGCAUGGCUGUUCGUCAGCUCGUGUUGUGAAAUGUUGGGUUAAGUCCCGCAACGAGCGCAACCCUUAUCCUUUGUUGCCAGCGAUUCGGUCGGGAACUCAAAGGAGACUGCCGGUGAUAAACCGGAGGAAGGUGGGGAUGACGUCAAGUCAUCAUGGCCCUUACGAGUAGGGCUACACACGUGCUACAAUGGCGUAUACAAAGAGAAGCGACCUCGCGAGAGCAAGCGGACCUCAUAAAGUACGUCGUAGUCCGGAUUGGAGUCUGCAACUCGACUCCAUGAAGUCGGAAUCGCUAGUAAUCGUAGAUCAGAAUGCUACGGUGAAUACGUUCCCGGGCCUUGUACACACCGCCCGUCACACCAUGGGAGUGGGUUGCAAAAGAAGUAGGUAGCUUAACCUUCGGGAGGC